rnacentral:rRNA from 1 species
UGGUUAAAAAGCUCGUAGUUGGAUCUCGGCGGACUGAGGGCGGUUUGCUUGCUAGUAUUACUGCCCUAUAGUCCGUAGUUUUGCCAGAGGUUUCGGGGUGCUCUUAAUCGAGUGUCCCGGGAUGCUGGCAGGUUUACUUUGAAAAAAUUAGAGUGCUCAAAGCAGGCUAUUACGCCUGAAUAUUCGUGCAUGGAAUAAUAGAAUAGGAAGUCGUUUCUAUUUUGUUGGUUUUCGGAAAUCGACUUAAUGAUUAAUAGGGACAGUCGGGGGCAUUUGUAUUCAAACGACAGAGGUGAAAUUCUUGGACCGUUUGAAGACAAACUACUGCGAAAGCAUUUGCCAAGAAUGUUUUCAUUAAUCAAGAACGAAAGUUAAAGGUUCGAAGGCGAUUAGAUACCGCCCUAGUUUUAACCAUAAACGAUGCCAGCUAGCGAUCUGCGGACGUUUUUUUUGUAGACUCCGCAGGAAGCUUCCGGGAAACCAAAGCAUUUGGGUUCCAGGGGAAGUAUGGUUGCAAAGCUGAAACUUAAAGGAAUUGACGGAAGGGCACCACCAGGAGUGGAGCCUGUGGCUUAAUUUGACUCAACACGGGAAAUCUCACCAGGCCCGGACACUGGAAGGAUUGACAGAUUGAUA